CACUCUUAUAAAUUGAAUCAUUUUAUAUUAUGUUUGUAAUUAAAUAAUGAUCUCUUUCAACAACUGAUCUCUUUGCUUCUCGCAUCGAUGAAGAUCGUC
rnacentral:rRNA from 1 species